CAAAUCAGAAAAAUGUUGGAAAUGUAACCAGAUAUCGGGUUCAUAUUAUCACAUGUGGCGGACAUG